rnacentral:rRNA from 1 species
GUGGGGAAUAUUGCACAAUGGGCGCAAGCCUGAUGCAGCGACGCCGCGUGAGGGAUGACGGCCUUCGGGUUGUAAACCUCUUUCAGUAGGGAAGAAGCGAAAGUGACGGUACCUGCAGAAGAAGCACCGGCUAACUACGUGCCAGCAGCCGCGGUAAUACGUAGGGUGCGAGCGUUAUCCGGAAUUAUUGGGCGUAAAGAGCUCGUAGGCGGUUUGUCGCGUCUGUCGUGAAAGUCCGGGGCUUAACCCCGGAUCUGCGGUGGGUACGGGCAGACUAGAGUGCAGUAGGGGAGACUGGAAUUCCUGGUGUAGCGGUGGAAUGCGCAGAUAUCAGGAGGAACACCGAUGGCGAAGGCAGGUCUCUGGGCUGUAACUGACGCUGAGGAGCGAAAGCAUGGGGAGCGAACAGGAUUAGAUACCCUGGUAGUCC